GACGAACGCUGGCGGCGUGCUUAACACAUGCAAGUCGAACGGAAAGGCCCUGCUUUUGUGGGGUGCUCGAGUGGCGAACGGGUGAGUAACACGUGAGUAACCUGCCCUUGACUGUGGGAUAACUUCAGGAAACUGGGGCUAAUACCGGAUAGGAGCUCCUGCUGCAUGGUGGGGGUUGGAAAGUUUCGGCGGUUGGGGAUGGACUCGCGGCUUAUCAGCUUGUUGGUGGGGUAGUGGCUUACCAAGGCUUUGACGGGUAGCCGUCCUGAGAGGGUGACCGGCCACAUUGGGACUGAGAUACGGCCCAGCCUACUACGGGACGCAGCAGUGGGGAAUAUUGCACAAUGGGCGGAAGCCUGAUGCAGCAACGCCGCGUGCGGGAUGACGGCCUUCGGGUUGUAAACCGAUUUCGCCUGUGACGAAGCGUGAGUGACGGUAAUGGGUAAAGAAGCACCGGCUAACUACGUG
rnacentral:rRNA from 1 species